UGUAAAAGCAAGGGUUGACCUGGUUUUCU
rnacentral:piRNA from 1 species